CUACGUGCCAGCAGCCGCGGUAAUACGGAGGGUGCGAGCGUUAAUCGGAAUAACUGGGCGUAAAGGGCACGCAGGCGGCUAUUUAAGUGAGGUGUGAAAUCCCCGGGCUCAACCUGGGAACUGCGUUCUGAACUGGGUGACUAGAGUGUGUCAGAGGGAGGUAGAAUUCCACGUGUAGCAGUGAAAUGCGUAGAGAUGUGGAGGAAUACCGAUGGCGAAGGCAGCCCCUUGGGAAUGUACUGACGCUCAUGUGCGAAAGCGUGGGGAGCAAACAGGAUUAGAUACCCUGGUAGUCCACGCUGUAAACGAUGUCGAUUUGGGGGUUGGGCUUUAAGCUUGGCGCCCGUAGCUAACGUGAUAAAUCGACCGCCUGGGGAGUACGACCGCAAGGUUGAAACUCAAAGGAAUUGACGGGGGCCCGCACAAGCGGAGGAACAUGUGGUUUAAUUCGAUGAUACGCGAGGAACCUUACCCGGGCUUGAAC
rnacentral:rRNA from 1 species